rnacentral:tRNA from 2 species
GUCAGGAUAGCUCAGUUGGUAGAGCAGAGGACUGAAAAUCCUC